CCUACGGGUGGCAGCAGUGAGGAAUAUUGGUCAAUGGGCGCGAGCCUGAACCAGCCAAGUAGCGUGAAGGAUGACUGCCCUACGGGUUGUAAACUUCUUUUAUCAAGGAAUAAAGUCAGGCACGUGUGCCUUUAUCUAUUUACUUUAUGAAUAAGGAUCGGCUAACUCCGUGCCAGCAGCCGCGGUAAUGCGGAGGGUCCGAGCGUUAUCCGGAUUUAUUGGGUUGAAAGGGAGCGUAGAUGGGUGGUUAAGUCAGUGGUGAAAGCUGGAGGCUCAACCGUAAAAUUGCAAUUGAUACUGGCAGUCUUGAGUACAGUUGAGGUAGGCGGAAUUCGUGGUGUAGCGGUGAAAUGCUUAGAUAUCACGAAGAACUCCGAUUGCGAAGGCAGCUUACUAAACUGCCACUGACAUUGAUGCUCGAAAGUGUGGGUAUCAAACAGGAUUAGAUACCCGGGUAGUC
rnacentral:rRNA from 1 species